rnacentral:rRNA from 1 species
AUGAACGCUGGCGGCGUGCCUCAUACAUGCAAGUCGAGCGAACGGACGAGAAGCUUGCUUCUCUGAUGUUAGCGGCGGACGGGUGAGUAACACGUGGAUAACCUACCUAUAAGACUGGGAUAACUUCGGGAAACCGGAGCUAAUACCGGAUAAUAUUUUGAACCGCAUGGUUCAAAAGUGUAAGACGGUCUUGCUGUCACUUAUAGAUGGAUCCGCGCUGCAUUAGCUAGUUGGUAAGGUAACGGCUUACCAAGGCAACGAUGCAUAGCCGACCUGAGAGGGUGAUCGGCCACACUGGAACUGAGACACGGUCCAGACUCCUACGGGAGGCAGCAGUAGGGAAUCUUCCGCAAUGGGCGAAAGCCUGACGGAGCAACGCCGCGUGAGUGAUGAAGGUCUUCGGAUCGUAAAACUCUGUUAUUAGGGAAGAACAUAUGUGUAAGUAACUGUGCACAUCUUGACGGUACCUAAUCAGAAAGCCACGGCUAACUACGUG